CUAGGUGGGAUUAGCUUGUUGGUGAGGUAAGAGCUCACCAAGGCGACGAUCCCUAGCUGUUCUGAGAGGAUGAUCAGCCACACUGGGACUGAGACACGGCCCAGACUCCUACGGGAGGCAGCAGUGGGGAAUAUUGCACAAUGGGCGAAAGCCUGAUGCAGCCAUGCCGCGUGUGUGAAGAAGGCCUUCGGGUUGUAAAGCACUUUCAGCGAGGAGGAAAGGUUAACGGUUAAUACCCGUUAGCUGUGACGUUACUCGCAGAAGAAGCACCGGCUAACUUCGUGCCAGCAGCCGCGGUAAUACGAGGGGUGCAAGCGUUAAUCGGAAUUACUGGGCGUAAAGCGUACGCAGGCGGUUUGUUAAGCGAGAUGUGAAAGCCCCGG
rnacentral:rRNA from 1 species